rnacentral:rRNA from 1 species
GAUGAACGCUAGCGACAGGCUUAACACAUGCAAGUCGAGGGGCAGCGGGGGAUAAGCUUGCUUUUCCUGCCGGCGACCGGCGCACGGGUGAGUAACACGUAUGCAACCUGCCCCUGUCAGAGGGAUAAUCCGGAGAAAUCCGGUCUAAUAUCGCAUAAAGCGUUUGCGGGGCAUCCUGCGAGCGCCAAAGGAGUAAUCCGGACAGGGAUGGGCAUGCGGCGCAUUAGCUAGUUGGGGGGGGUAACGGCCCACCAAGGCGACGAUGCGUAGGGGUUCUGAGAGGAAGGUCCCCCACAUUGGUACUGAGACACGGACCAAACUCCUACGGGAGGCAGCAGUGAGGAAUAUUGGUCAAUGGGCGGAAGCCUGAACCAGCCAAGUCGCGUGAGGGAAGACGGCCCUAAGGGUUGUAAACCUCUUUUGCCGGGGAGCAAAAGCGCCGUGCGCGGUGCUAUGAGAGUACCCGGAGAAAAAGCAUCG